CCUAUAGCUCUCUAUAACUGUUCUGAGACCAGUGCAGACAGACAGCACACUGGAGGUUAAGUCAUUCACUAAAUAGGGAGCAAGGGAGCAUCCUAUAGCUCUCCUAUAACUGUUCUGAGACCAGUGCAGACAGACAGCACACUGGAGGUUAAGUCAUUCACUAAAUAGGGAGCAAGGGAGCAUCCUAUAGCUCUCCUAUAACUGUUCUGAGACCAGUGCAGACAGACAGCACACUGGAGGUUAAGUCAUUCACUAAAUAGGGAGCAAGGGAGCAUCCUAUAGCUCUCCUAUAACUGUUCUGAGACCAGUGCAGACAGACAGCACACUGGAGGUUAAGUCAUUCACUAAAUAGGGAGCAAGGGAGCAUCCUAUAG